rnacentral:rRNA from 1 species
GUGCCAGCCGCCGCGGUAAUACGGAGGGUGCAAGCGUUAAUCGGAAUUACUGGGCGUAAAGCGCGCGUAGGUGGUUUGGUCAGUCAGAUGUGAAAGCCCCGGGCUCAACCUGGGAACUGCACCUGAUACUGCCAGGCUAGAGUACGGUAGAGGGAAGUGGAAUUUCCGGUGUAGCGGUGAAAUGCGUAGAGAUCGGAAGGAACACCAGUGGCGAAGGCGACUUCCUGGACUGAUACUGACACUGAGGUGCGAAAGCGUGGGGAGCAAACAGGAUUAGAAACCCCGGUAGUCC